UACGGAGGGGGCGAGCGUUAUUCGGAAUUAUUGGGCGUAAAGGGCGCGUAGGCGGCUUGGUAAGUCAAAGGUGAAAUCCCUCGGCUCAACUGAGGAAUUGCCUUUGAAACUGCCAGGCUUGAGGCCGGGAGGGGGUAGCGGAAUUCCCAGUGUAGCGGUGAAAUGCGUAGAUACUGGGAGGAACACCAGUGGCGAAGGCGGCUACCUGGACCGGAACUGACGCUGAUGCGCGAAAGCGUGGGGGGCAAACAGG
rnacentral:rRNA from 1 species